UCAGCAACAACAACAUCAAUUAAAAUUUGAUUCUCACCUCAAUUCAACAACAACAUGUCACAAUUCAUCAAUUAAGCAUAAUUUCAUAACAACCCAUUUUCAUACAUUAUGAACAUGUUAUUUCAUCACCAACAAUUCAUUUAUCAUUCAAUUAACAUACUCAAACUUAUCACCAAAACAAGAGCACGAAUUUAACAACAAUUAUCAAUUCAUUCCAAUCAACCCAUUUC
rnacentral:lncRNA from 1 species